GCGACGCCGAACCUUUUUACACUUACACUUCAUCAAGAUAUUCCGCGUAAAAAUAUACUCCUUAGCAAGAAAUAAAUAAAUAAAUUAUUGAAAGGUUUAAAAUCGCGUCUUUUUGUUUCGAAACACAUUGUAACGAAGAAACAUGGAUGAAAUAAAGAAAAAAUUUAAGCUUCCAACGGUAAUUUUAUUUUUGAUUCUAUUUCGAGAUAUUCAUGCGCGGCAUUCUAAACCAGCGUUGUCUCUCUGAGCUCCCGCUCGCCGUUCGGCCAUGUUUUUGCAAGCAUGAAAGGAAGAAAACUUAAAGGGAUCGAGGAGCAGAAUUGGAAAUGCUUCUACUUUAACUUUAAAGUCUAAAAGAUGGUAUUGGAAAAAACAUGAAGGUAGCAGAUGACCAAGGGAAAAUGAAAUCCUGGCUGAAGCAUUCAGCAGACUAGCUGAUAAGGGAAACAGCCAACAAUUAAUGAAAUCUAUUGUAUAAAAUUUGUUAAUAAAGGUGUUUCAUUGUA